GUGGGGAAUCUUCCGCAAUGGACGAAAGUCUGACGGAGCGACGCCGCGUGAGUGAAGAAGGCCUUCGGGUCGUAAAGCUCUGUCAUCAGGGACGAACGGCCGGUGGAGUGGAAAGCCACCGGAUUGACGGUACCCGAGAAGGAAGCCACGGCUAACUACGUGCCAGCAGCCGCGGUAAUACGUAGGUGGCAAGCGUUGUCCGGAAUUAUUGGGCGUAAAGCGCGCGCAGGUGGGAUCUUAAGUCCAUUUUGAAAGUUCGGAGCUCAACUCCGUGAUGGGAUGGAAACUGGGAUUCUGGAGGACCGGGGAGGAAAGCGGAAUUCCCCGUGUAGCGGUGAAAUGCGUAGAUAUGGGGAGGAACACCAGUGGCGAAGGCGGCUUUCUGGACGGUGUCUGACACUGAGGCGCGAAAGCUAGGGGAGCGAACGGGAUUAGAUACCCGGGUAGUCC
rnacentral:rRNA from 1 species